UACGUAGGGUGCGAGCGUUAAUCGGAAUUACUGGGCGUAAAGCGUGCGCAGGCGGCUUCUCAAGUCAGAGGUGAAAGCCCAGAGCUCAACUCUGGAAUUGCCUUUGAGACUGAGUGGCUUGAGUACGAGAGAGGUGAGUGGAAUUCCCAGUGUAGAGGUGAAAUUCGUAGAUAUUGGGAAGAACACCGGUGGCGAAGGCGGCUCACUGGCUCGUAACUGACGCUCAUGCACGACAGCGUGGGGAUCAAACAGG
rnacentral:rRNA from 1 species